GACGAACGCUGGCGGCGUGCUUAACACAUGCAAGUCGAACGGAAAGGCCCUGCUUUCGUGGGGUGCUCGAGUGGCGAACGGGUGAGUAACACGUGAGUAACCUGCCCUUGACUUUGGGAUAACUUCAGGAAACUGGGGCUAAUACCGGAUAGGAGCUCCUGCUGCAUGGUGGGGGUUGGAAAGUUUCGGCGGAUGGGGAUGGACUCGCGUCUUAUCAGCUUGUUGGUGGGGUAGUGGCUUACCAAGGCUUUGACGGGUAGCCGGCCUGAGAGGGUGACCGGCCACAUUGGGACUGUGAUACGGCCCAGACUCCUACGGGAGGCAGCAGUGGGGAAUACUGCACAAUGGGCGGAAGCCUGAUGCAGCAACGCCGCGUGCGGGAUGACGGCCUUCGGGUUGUAAACCGCUUUCGCCUGUGACGAAGCGUGAGUGACGGUAAUGGGUAAAGAAGCACCGGCUAACUACGUG
rnacentral:rRNA from 1 species